UACGUAGGGGGCAAGCGUUGUCCGGAAUCAUUGGGCGUAAAGAGCGUGUAGGCGGCCCGGUAAGUCCGCUGUAAAAGUCAAAGGCUUAACCUUUGAAUGUCAGUGGAUACUGCCGGGCUAGAGUCCGGAAGAGGCGAGUGGAACUCCUGGUGUAGCGGUGGAAUGCGCAGAUAUCGGGAGGAACACCAAUGGCGAAGGCAGCUCGCUGGGACGGUACUGACGCUGAGACGCGAAAGCAUGGGAGCGAACAGG
rnacentral:rRNA from 1 species